rnacentral:piRNA from 1 species
UAAUCAGCCAAGAGGUUCUUCUACCUC